rnacentral:rRNA from 1 species
GAGAAUGCCGGUGUGAGUAGCGAAAGACGGGUGAGAAUCCCGUCCACCGAUUGACUAAGGUUUCCAGAGGAAGGCUCGUCCGCUCUGGGUUAGUCGGGUCCUAAGCUGAGGCCGACAGGCGUAGGCGAUGGAUAACAGGUUGAUAUUCCUGUACCACCUAUAAUCGUUUUAAUCGAUGGGGGGACGCAGUAGGAUAGGCGAAGCGUG